rnacentral:rRNA from 1 species
CUACGGGGCGCAGCAGUGGGGAAUAUUGCACAAUGGAGGAAACUCUGAUGCAGCAACGCCGCGUGGAGGAUGACACUUUUCGGAGCGUAAACUCCUUUUAUAUAGGAAGAGGAUGACGGUACUAUAUGAAUAAGCGCCGGCUAACUCCGUGCCAGCAGCCGCGGUAAUACGGAGGGCGCAAGCGUUACUCGGAAUCACUGGGCGUAAAGAGCGUGUAGGCGGAUUAAAAAGUCAGAAGUGAAAUCCUAUAGCUUAACUAUAGAACUGCUUCUGAAACUCUUAAUCUAGAAUAUGGGAGAGGUAGAUGGAAUUUCUGGUGUAGGGGUAAGAUCCGUAGAGAUCAGAAGGAAUACCGAUUGCGAAGGCGAUCUACUAGAACAUUAUUGACGCUGAGACGCGAAAGCGUGGGGAGCAAACAGGAUUAGAUACCCGCGUAGUC